GGGAAUGUGGCAUAGGGGUAGAGUGCCUGCCUAGCAUGCAGGAAGCCUGGGUUCAAUUCCUCAGUACCA
rnacentral:tRNA from 1 species